UUGAAGGUGCGUUGUAAAGCGUGCUGGAGGUAUCAGAAGUGCGAAUGCUGACAUGAGUAGCGUUAAAGCGGGUGAAAAGCCCGCUCGCCGUAAGCGCAAGGUUUUCUACGCAACGUUCAUCGGCGUAGAGUGAGUCGGCCCCUAAGGCGAGGCAGAGAUGCGUAGCUGAUGGGAAACAGGUCAAUAUUCCUGUACCGAUGUGUAGUGCGAUGUGGGGACGGAUCUUAAUAGGUCAUCCGGGUGUUGGAUAUCCCGGUUUAGAUGGAUGUAGGCGUGCGUUAGGCAAAUCCGGCGCACAUAUACCGAGGCCAUCGAUCGAGCGAGCUUGCUCGCGAAGUGACUGAACGAGGUUCCAGGAAAAGCCACUAAGCUUCAGCUACACACGACCGUACCGCAAACCGACACUGGUGCGCGAGAUGAGUAUUCUAAGGCGCUUGAGAGAACUCAGGAGAAGGAACUCGGCAAAUUGACACCGUAACUUCGGAAGAAGGUGUGCCCUAUUAAUGUGUAGUGAACAACGAAGCAUGAACGGGUUGCAAAAAAUCGGUGGCUGCGACUGUUUAUUAAAAACACAGCACUCUGCAAACACGAAAGUGGACGUAUAGGGUGUGACGCCUGCCCGGUGCUGGAAGAUUAAAUGAUGGGGUGCAAGCUCUUGAUUGAAGUCCCAGUAAACGGCGGCCGUAACUAUAACGUCCUAAGGUAGCGAAAUUCCUUGUCGGGUAAGUUCCGACCUGCACGAAUGGCGUAACGAUGGCCACACUGUCUCCUCCUGAGACUCAGCGAAGUUGAAAUGUUUGUGAUGAUGCAAUCUCCCUGCGGAAAGACGGAAAGACCCCAUGAACCUUUACUGUAGCUUUGUAUUGGACUUUGAACAGAUCUGUGUAGGAUAGGUGGGAGGCUUUGAAGCCAGGACGCUAGUUCUGGUGGAGCCAACGUUGAAAUACCACCCUGGUGUGUUUGAGGUUCUAACCUAGGUCCAUUAUCUGGAUCGGGGACAGUGCAUGGUAGGCAGUUUGACUGGGGCGGUCUCCUCCCAAAGCGUAACGGAGGAGUUCGAAGGUACGCUAGUUACGGUCGGACAUCGUGACGAUAGUGCAAUGGCAUAAGCGUGCUUAACUGCGAGACUGACAAGUCGAGCAGAUGCGAAAGCAGGACAUAGUGAUCCGGUGGUUCUGUAUGGAAGGGCCAUCGCUCAACGGAUAAAAGGUACUCUGGGGAUAACAGGCUGAUACCGCCCAAGAGUUCAUAUCGACGGCGGUGUUUGGCACCUCGAUGUCGGCUCAUCUCAUCCUGGGGCUGUAGCCGGUCCCAAGGGUAUGGCUGUUCGCCAUUUAAAGAGGUACGUGAGCUGGGUUUAAAACGUCGCGAGACAGUUUGGUCCCUAUCUUCCGUGGGCGCUGCAGAUUUGAGGAAGCCUGCUCCUAGUACGAGAGGACCGGAGUGGACACACCUCUGGUGUAUCGGUUGUCACGCCAGUGGCAUUGCCGAGUAGCUAAGUGUGGAAGAGAUAACCGCUGAAAGCAUCUAAGCGGGAAACUCGUUUCAAGAUGAGAUCUGCCGGGGCCUCGAGCCCCCUAAAGAGUCGUUCAAGACCAGGACGUUGAUAGGUCGGGUGUGGAAGCGCAGUAAUGCGUUAAGCUAACCGAUACUAAUUGCUCGUGCGGCUUGACCCU
rnacentral:rRNA from 1 species